UAACCAUGGAGACCAGAGACCAUCACAAAACGGGGCGUCAUCCGAAAAGCCAGAUGAGUAGGAACAAA
rfam:Chryseobacterium sp. T16E-39 chromosome, complete genome.